rnacentral:rRNA from 1 species
AUUGAACGCUGGCGGCAGGCCUAACACAUGCAAGUCGAGCGGAUGAAGGGAGCUUGCUCCUGGAUUCAGCUGCCGACGGGCGAGUAAUGCCUAGGAAUCUGCCUGGCAGUUGGGGAUGACGUCCGGACACGGGCGCUAAUACCGCAUACGUCCUGAGGGAGAAAGGGGGGGAUCUUCGGACCUCACGCUAUCAGAUGAGCCUAGGUCGGAUUAGCUAGUUGGUGGGGUAAAGGCCUACCAAGGCGACGAUCCGUAACUGGUCUGAGAGGAUGAUCAGUCACACUGGAACUGAGACACGGUCCAGACUCCUACGGGAGGCAGCAGUGGGGAAUAUUGGACAAUGGGCGAAAGCCUGAUCCAGCCAUGCCGCGUGUGUGAAGAAGGUCUUCGGAUUGUAAAGCACUUUUAGUUGGGAAGAAGAGCAGUAAGUUAAUACCUUGCUGUUUUGACGGUACCAACAGAAUAAGCACCGGCUAACUUCGUG